AGAGUUUGAUCCUGGCUCAGAUUGAACGCUGGCGGCAGGCCUAACACAUGCAAGUCGAACGGUAACAGGAAACAGCUUGCUGUUUCGCUGACGAGUGGCGGACGGGUGAGUAAUGUCUGGGAAGCUGCCUGAUGGAGGGGGAUAACUACUGGAAACGGUAGCUAAUACCGCAUAAUGUCGCAAGACCAAAGAGGGGGACCUUCGGGCCUCUUGCCAUCGGAUGUGCCCAGAUGGGAUUAGCUAGUAGGUGGGGUAACGGCUCACCUAGGCGACGAUCCCUAGCUGGUCUGAGAGGAUGACCAGCCACACUGGAACUGAGACACGGUCCAGACUCCUACGGGAGGCAGCAGUGGGGAAUAUUGCACAAUGGGCGCAAGCCUGAUGCAGCCAUGCCGCGUGUAUGAAGAAGGCCUUCGGGUUGUAAAGUACUUUCAGCGGGGAGGAAGGGAGUAAAGUUAAUACCUUUGCUCAUUGACGUUACCCGCAGAAGAAGCACCG
rnacentral:rRNA from 1 species